rnacentral:rRNA from 1 species
ACGCUGGCGGCAGGCCUAACACAUGCAAGUCGAGCGGUAGCACAGAGAGCUUGCUCUCGGGUGACGAGCGGCGGACGGGUGAGUAAUGUCUGGGAAACUGCCUGAUGGAGGGGGAUAACUACUGGAAACGGUAGCUAAUACCGCAUAACGUCGCAAGACCAAAGUGGGGGACCUUCGGGCCUCAUGCCAUCAGAUGUGCCCAGAUGGGAUUAGCUAGUAGGUGGGGUAACGGCUCACCUAGGCGACGAUCCCUAGCUGGUCUGAGAGGAUGACCAGCCACACUGGAACUGAGACACGGUCCAGACUCCUACGGGAGGCAGCAGUGGGGAAUAUUGCACAAUGGGCGCAAGCCUGAUGCAGCCAUGCCGCGUGUGUGAAGAAGGCCUUCGGGUUGUAAAGCACUUUCAGUGGGGAGGAAGGCGUUAAGGUUAAUAACCUUGGCGAUUGACGUUACCCGCAGAAGAAGCACCGGCUAACUCCGUGCCAGCAGCCGCGGUAAUACGGAGGGUGCAAGCGUUAAUCGGAAUUACUGGGCGUAAAGCGCACGCAGGCGGUCUGUCAAGUCGGAUGUGAAAUCCCCGGGCUUAACCUGGGAACUGCAUUCGAAACUGGCAGGCUAGAGUCUUGUAGAGGGGGGUAGAAUUCCAGGUGUAGCGGUGAAAUGCGUAGAGAUCUGGAGGAAUACCGGUGGCGAAGGCGGCCCCCUGGACAAAGACUGACGCUCAGGUGCGAAAGCGUGGGGAGCAAACAGGAUUAGAUACCCUGGUAGUCCACGCCGUAAACGAUGUCGAUUUGGAGGUUGUGCCCUUGAGGCGUGGCUUCCGGAGCUAACGCGUUAAAUCGACCGCCUGGGGAGUACGGCCGCAAGGUUAAAACUCAAAUGAAUUGACGGGGGCCCGCACAAGCGGUGGAGCAUGUGGUUUAAUUCGAUGCAACGCGAAGAACCUUACCUGGUCUUGACAUCCACAGAACUUUCCAGAGAUGGAUUGGUGCCUUCGGGAACUGUGAGACAGGUGCUGCAUGGCUGUCGUCAGCUCGUGUUGUGAAAUGUUGGGUUAAGUCCCGCAACGAGCGCAACCCUUAUCCUUUGUUGCCAGCGGUCCGGCCGGGAACUCAAAGGAGACUGCCAGUGAUAAACUGGAGGAAGGUGGGGAUGACGUCAAGUCAUCAUGGCCCUUACGACCAGGGCUACACACGUGCUACAAUGGCAUAUACAAAGAGAAGCGACCUCGCGAGAGCAAGCGGACCUCAUAAAGUAUGUCGUAGUCCGGAUUGGAGUCUGCAACUCGACUCCAUGAAGUCGGAAUCGCUAGUAAUCGUAGAUCAGAAUGCUACGGUGAAUACGUUCCCGGGCCUUGUACACACCGCCCGUCACACCAUGGGAGUGGGUUGCAAAAGAAGUAGGUAGCUUAACCUUCGGGAGGGCGCUUUACCACUU